rnacentral:tRNA from 1 species
AGUGGUCUAGUGGUAGAAUAGUACCCUGCCACGGUAUAGACCCGAGUUCGAUUCUUGACU